ACUCCUACGGGAGGCAGCAGUGGGGAAUAUUGGACAAUGGGCGCAAGCCUGAUCCAGCAAUGCCGCGUGAGUGAUGAAGGCCUUCGGGUUGUAAAGCUCUUUCGCACGCGACGAUGAUGACGGUAGCGUGAGAAGAAGCCCCGGCUAACUUCGUGCCAGCAGCCGCGGUAAUACGAAGGGGGCGAGCGUUGUUCGGAAUUACUGGGCGUAAAGGGCGCGUAGGCGGUGUGUCAAGUCAGGCGUGAAAGCCCCGGGCUCAACCUGGGAACAGCGCUUGAGACUGGCACGCUCGAGUUCGGGAGAGGAUGGUGGAAUUCCCAGUGUAGAGGUGAAAUUCGUAGAUAUUGGGAAGAACACCGAUGGCGAAGGCAGCCAUCUGGACCGACACUGACGCUGAGGCGCGAAAGCGUGGGGAGCAAACAGGAUUAGAUACCCUGGUAG
rnacentral:rRNA from 1 species